rnacentral:rRNA from 1 species
UACGGAGGGUGCAAGCGUUGUCCGGAUUUAUUGGGUUUAAAGGGUGCGUAGGUGGGUUGGUAAGUCAGUGGUGAAAUCUCCGGGCUUAACCUGGAAACUGCCAUUGAUACUAUCAAUCUUGAAUACCUUGGAGGUGAGCGGAAUAUGUCAUGUAGCGGUGAAAUGCUUAGAUAUGACAUAGAACACCAAUUGCGAAGGCAGCUCACUACACGGUCAUUGACACUGAGGCACGAAAGCGUGGGGAUCAAACAGG